CCUACGGGAGGCAGCAGUGGGGGAUAUUGCACAAUGGGGGAAACCCUGAUGCAGCGACGCCGCGUGUGGGAAGACGGUCCUCUGGAUUGUAAACUACUGUCCCCAGGGACGAAGAUGACGGUACCUGGUGAGGAAGCUCCGGCUAACUACGUGCCAGCAGCCGCGGUAAUACGUAGGGAGCGAGCGUUGUCCGGAAUUACUGGGUGUAAAGGGAGCGUAGGCGGGACUGCAAGUUGGGGGUCAAAUCUACCGGCUCAACCGGUAGGCGCACUCAAAACUGCAGUUCUUGAGUGAAGUAGAGGCAGGCGGAAUUCCUAGUGUAGCGGUGAAAUGCGUAGAUAUUAGGAGGAACACCAGUGGCGAAGGCGGCCCGCUGGGCUUUUACUGACGCUGAGGCUCGAAAGUGUGGGGAGCAAACAGGAUUAGAUACCCGAGUAGUC
rnacentral:rRNA from 1 species